GCCAUGUGCCAGCGCUUCCCUGCGCUGUGCGGCCCGGCCGGAGCGCCCCGCUCCACCUGCGGGGCGCCACGCGAAACGUUUCUAAGCGGGUUCCUGGCGAGUCCAUUUUUUUCUUAGUGAGGUAGCAGCCCGGGGAAUAGGUGUGGGAAAGGACAGGGGACACCGGCGUCACGCUGGCCGCAGGGAUCACGCCACAGCCACACGGUUUGGAGGGACAUCCCAAGCCUUGCGGCUUGGAGGGAUCGCCCCUCAGCCACACGGGGGGAUCACCCCACGGCCACGCAGGUUGGAGGGGACAUGCCACGGCCACACAGGUUGGAGGGGACAUCCCACGGCCACACAGGUUGGGGGAAUCACCCCUCAGCCGCACGGGUUGGAGGGCACAUCCCACAGCUGGUUGUGCUGCCAGGAGGAGAAGCUGGUGCCCUCGAGACCCAGAGAAGUUACCAGGGAAGAACCAUUUUUUUGCCUUACAUUUAAAUCAGGCACAAAAUCAGAAUCUUCCAGAAUCCAGCAGCUUGUGAAGACUGUUCUGGGAAGCAAGGCUGAAGGUAACGACACCACCUCGAAUGAAAAGUGGAACAUCUCUCUGGCUAGCUGGUGAUGGAAAAAUUUCCUGUGUCUUUGUUUCUCUAAAAAUUA